rnacentral:rRNA from 1 species
GACGAACGCUGGCGGCGUGCUUAACACAUGCAAGUCGAACGGAAAGGCCCUGCUUGCAGGGUACUCGAGUGGCGAACGGGUGAGUAACACGUGGGUGAUCUGCCCUGCACUUCGGGAUAAGCUUGGGAAACUGGGUCUAAUACCGGAUAGGAGCCAUCUUUAGUGUGGUGGUUGGAAAGUUUUUUCGGUGUAGGAUGAGCUCGCGGCCUAUCAGCUUGUUGGUGGGGUAAUGGCCUACCAAGGCGGCGACGGGUAGCCGGCCUGAGAGGGUGUACGGCCACAUUGGGACUGAGAUACGGCCCAGACUCCUACGGGAGGCAGCAGUGGGGAAUAUUGCACAAUGGGCGCAAGCCUGAUGCAGCGACGCCGCGUGGGGGAUGAAGGCCUUCGGGUUGUAAACUCCUUUCGUUAGGGACGAAGCUUUUUGUGACGGUACCUAGAGAAGAAGCACCGGCUAACUACGUG